GGUAGCGUGGCCGAGCGGUCUAAGGCGCUGGUUUAAGGCACCAGUCUCUCCUGAGGCGUGGGUCCGAACCCCACCGCUGCCA
rnacentral:tRNA from 1 species